rnacentral:tRNA from 1 species
GGAGAGGUAGCUCAGCUGGUAGAGUGCUUACCUCAGAAGUAGGAAGUGUUGGGUUCGAUUCCUAGCGUCUCUU